UACGUAGGGGGCAAGCGUUGUCCGGAAUCAUUGGGCGUAAAGAGCGCGCAGGCGGUCGUUCAAGUCGAGUGUGAAAGCCCCCGGCUCAACUGGGGAGGGUCAUUCGAUACUGAUCGACUCGAAGGCAGGAGAGGGAAGUGGAAUUCCCGGUGUAGUGGUGAAAUGCGUAGAUAUCGGGAGGAACACCAGUGGCGAAGGCGACUUCCUGGCCUGUUCUUGACGCUGAGGCGCGAAAGCUAGGGGAGCAAACGGG
rnacentral:rRNA from 1 species